UACGUAGGGGGCUAGCGUUGUCCGGAAUCAUUGGGCGUAAAGAGCGUUGUAGGCGGCCCGGUAAGUCCGCUGUGAAAGUCGGGGGCUCAACCCUCGAAUGCCGGUGGAUACUGUCGGGCUAGAGUGCGGAAGAGGCGAGUGGAAUUCCUGGUGUAGCGGUGAAAUGCGCAGAUAUCAGGAGGAACACCGAUUGCGAAGGCAGCUCGCUGGGACGUCACUGACGCUGAGACGCGAAAGCGUGGGGAGCGAACGG
rnacentral:rRNA from 1 species